GUGAGUCAUCGAAUCUUUGAACGCACAUUGCGCCCCUUGGUAUUCCGGGGGGCAUGCCUGUUCGAGCGUCACUUCAACCCUCAAGCUCUGCUUGGUGUUGGGCCCUGCCGGCGACGGCAGGCCUUAAAACCAGUGGCGGCGCCGCUGGGCCCUGAGCGUAGUAAUACUCCUCGCUACUGGGCCCCAGCGGAUGCCUGCCAGCAAACCCAACUUUCUAUGGUUGACCUCGGAUCAGGUAGGGAUACCCGCUGAACUUAAGCAUAUCAAUAAGCGGAGGA
rnacentral:misc_RNA from 1 species